AACGAACGCUGGCGGCAGGCUUAACACAUGCAAGUCGAACGCCCCGCAAGGGGAGUGGCAGACGGGUGAGUAACGCGUGGGAAUCUACCCAGAUCUUCGGAACAACAGAGGGAGACUUCAGCUAAUACCGGAAACGCCCUACGGGGGAAAGAUUUGUCGGUUCUGGAUGAGCCGGCGAUGGAUUAGCUAGUUGGUGAGGUAACGGCUCACCAAGGCGACGCUCCAUAGCUGGUCUGAGAGGAUGAUCAGACACACUGGGACGGAGACACGGCCCAGACUACUACGGGAGGCAGCAGUGGGGAAUAUUGGACAAUGGGCGGAAGCCUGAUCCAGCCAUGCCUCGUGAGUGAUGAAGGCCUUAGGGAUGGAAAGCUCGUUCAGUGGGGAAGAUAAUGACGGUACCCACAGAAGGAGCCCCGGCUAACUUCGUGCCAGCCGCCGCGGUAACAC
rnacentral:rRNA from 1 species